UAAGACUAUAAUUUAUAUAAUAAUAAUAAUCGUAUGAAAAUUCCAUUAGAAAUAUCAAGUGUUCCUUCAGAGAUAUUUAAAAAGGCUUCAAUUUAUUUUUGCCCUAUAUACCAAGAAUUGGAAAGUUGGACUCGAAUAAAACUUCUGCUGCCAAGUUGGAAGAAAGAUGAUAGCAAUGGAGCGUCGUUCGGUUUUUAGAAGUGUCAGGGACCUUUUCAAGGGCUCCUAGCGUUUUCCGCGGUUAAAUAUGUGAGCUGGCCAAAAAGAAACAGAUUGCGUGGAGUACUUGGAGCUGCAGCAAUGUAGCAAGGCCUCGCCAAAAAGAACAAGGGAUUGCAGCCGCCGGUUUCGGAAUUGAUGAUAUUAAAUACAGACGGCAUUUGAUUAUGUCUGACAGAAGGGCCUUUUCUUCAAGUUGCAGUCCCAUCUCAUCAUCAGGAAGCACGUUUGGCAUAUCUUUCAAAAUCUCUGAGCAUCAAAGUUUCAAAACUCUGCAAGGAGUGUGGUCCAUUGGAUUAACUACCACUGGCUACAUACAAUCCCUACAAUUCCUGUGAGCUGCCUCAUCGGUUGCUGGGCAAACUUGGCUGGGCAGCGGAUUGGAACAAUUCAUAUCUGCCAAAUCUGAUACAUGCCUGGGACUGCGCUUUAUUGAAGGGACGGACGAUCGUGUACAAUUGCGUCGCCCGUGGACCGAAGGCGUGCCCAUAUCCCAGGCUGUGGUCUUGCUGAGCAUUCUGAAGAUCAUUUAAGAAGAGGCUAGCAAUGUUGACGUCGAUUCAAAAAGUUGAUUACGAUCUGAAAGAAAUGCAUAUUAAUUUGCUGCUAGUGUGUAUCAUAGAAAUGGAUACCUACUGCUGAAAAUGCAUUAGAUGACGCAGUGAGUCCGCCACAGAGACCUCAGUAAUACGCUGAUGUGGUGGAUUAUAUGCCACCCAGCCGUUCCACGCUGGGAGUAGCGGAGGGGCUUAGACGAGUAGCUCCUCGCUGGACCAGAUGAGUGCCUUGUCUAGUGCCUUGUCCUGUCUUCACGGGGACGUGGAUGUUACGGGCGGGCAAAUUAAGCUACCGAUAAUUUAGUAUAGCGUAUAUUCUAAAAAGUGUGGAGUUUUUACCCCUUGGAAGAGAUUUCUGUGUGUCAUCCCAGUUACUUUAUUUCAAAUUUCUUGAAAUUGAUCUUUAGUGUUCUGUUUUAUUGAAUUUUCGGUUCAAGUUUUGUGAACAAUAUAAAAUGAAUGGUGCUACAAA